GUCUUCUUUCCUAAACAAAGUUCUCCUCUUCAAAAAUUUUCUUUUCUUUUGAAAGCUUCUUCUUCCUUAGUUGAAUCCUCCAAUCUUAGUUAACGAUCUUGAGCUAGCAGAAGGUCUCCGAAUAAUACUUUUCUUCUGCUAUUCUUUACACAUUUAUUUUAAAAAAUUCUUGAAAAUUUACCCAUCGUUACUACGCUUCAAGCAGAGGACCCUGCACUUUAAUUUCUAGAGUCAUAAAGAAAUUAUUCUUGUGUAUUGGUAUUAAAAACUUCAUUGUUAAUCGAUUCAAGUAUUCAUGUGAUUGCCCGAUUAAAGUUUGUUGCUUACUAGUUGGUUGAUAAUCUUUUCUCACACUCUAUUUUAUGUACAUGAUUGACUUUUAAAUGGUGUGAAAUACAAACUUUAAAAACUAAGAAUAUGCAAGAUCACAUAUAUAAAAGAAGAGAAGACAGACACAUUUAAAUAAAGAAAAAUUUUAUGCUUUAUUUAAUCAAUCACUACCAUAUUAUUAACUAUUUACAGGCUCUACCCGAUUGGCAAGAUUUUUUGAUUGUUUAAUUGUUCAACAAAUUCUACCAUAUUGGCAUAAGUUUGUGUUAUCUACGUUGACCUAUUUAUUAGAUUAUCCACAAAGUCUACUCAGUUGGUAUAAUUUUGUCUCGUUCAGUUAUUCAUUAAACUCUAUUAGAUUUGCAUGACUUUUAUAUUAUCUAUAUCUAUUAAAUUGUUUACCAAAGUCUACUCGAUUGACAUAAUUUUUCAACAUUUAACAAAGUGUUCUUCAAAACUAAGAUUCCAAUUUCGAUUAAACCACCCCAAAUUUUCUCCAAAUGAUAUCAAAUUUGAAACAAAACCUUCAAAUACCAAUGUUCAAAUAAUUUUAACUAUAAUUAAUCACUAAUUUCCAGUUUCUACCCUCAAAUAAGAAAGAAGCAUAUUCUUAUAACAAAGUCAAAAAUGAAGAUAAUAUUUAAAGACCAAUUCCUUAGGAGGGUAAAAAUUGCACGGGACGUCCUAUUUGGUCGCCCAAAUUUAAUCUAUACCCAUUUUUAAAAAAAAUUUUAACUUGUGUCCACUUUUUAAAAAACUUCAACUCCCUUUUUUUCUUCCCUUCAGUAUCAAAUAGGAAUUCGCCAGAUAAUAAUUCUGUGACUAAUCUUCAACUUCUCUAUCUUGCAGCCCGAUUUUCACCAGAUGAUAAAUUCAAGGCAGAGAGUGCUUCCUAAGAAGCGAUCCGGCUUGCUUCCAACCCUAAAACCACCUCAAAAGUACUAGCAACCUUUUGCUACAACCUAUUGUUCCUCACUCAAUAACAAUAACAACUACCUAGUAUAGUCCUAUAAAGUAGGGUUUGGGGAGGGUAAUAUGCAGACAUGCCUUACCCCUGCUCGAAAGGACAGAAAGACUAUUUCCAAUCAACCCUCGGCUCAGGACUAUUGUUCUUCACUCCUCAGUUAAAUAUAACGCUAUUGCU
rnacentral:lncRNA from 1 species